rnacentral:tRNA from 1 species
GACGGCAUAUGAAAGUUAAAUUACAUUGCCUUCUAAGCAGGCGGUCGAAGGUUCGAAUCCUUCUGCCAUCA